GCAAAGGAUGGUGAUUACUGGAGAUUGCUUAUACCUGGAAACUAUAAACUUACAGCCUCAGCUCCAGGCUAUCUGGCAAUAACAAAGAAAGUGGCAGUUCCUUACAGCCCUGCUGCUGGGGUUGAUUUUGAACUGGAGUCAUUUUCUGAAAGGAAAGAAGAGGAGAAGGAAGAAUUGAUGGAAUGGUGGAAAAUGAUGUCAGAAACUUUAAAUUUUUAAAAAGGCUUCUAGUUAGCUGCUUUAAAUCUAUCUAUAUAAUGUAGUAUGAUGUAAUGUGGUCUUUUUUUUAGAUUUUGUGCAGUUAAUACUUAACAUUGAUUUAUUUUUUAAUCAUUUAAAUAUUAAUCAACUUUCCUUAAAAUAAAUAGCCUCUUAGGUAAAAAUAUAAGAACUUGAUAUAUUUCAUUCUCUUAUAUAGUAUUCAUUUUCCUACCUAUAUUACACAAAAAAGUAUAGAAAAGAUUUAAGUAAUUUUGCCAUCCUAGGCUUAAAUGCAAUAUUCCUGGUAUUAUUUACAAUGCAGAAUUUUUUGAGUAAUUCUAGCUUUCAAAAAUUAGUGAAGUUCUUUUACUGUAAUUGGUGACAAUGUCACAUAAUGAAUGCUAUUGAAAAGGUUAACAGAUACAGCUCGGAGUUGUGAGCACUCUACUGCAAGACUUAAAUAGUUCAGUAUAAAUUGUCGUUUUUUUCUUGUGCUGACUAACUAUAAGCAUGAUCUUGUUAAUGCAUUUUUGAUGGGAAGAAAAGGUACAUGUUUACAAAGAGGUUUUAUGAAAAGAAUAAAAAUUGACUUCUUGCUUGUACAUAUAGGAGCAAUACUAUUAUAUUAUGUAGUCCGUUAACACUACUUAAAAGUUUAGGGUUUUCUCUUGGUUGUAGAGUGGCCCAGAAUUGCAUUCUGAAUGAAUAAAGGUUAAAAAAAAA
rnacentral:lncRNA from 1 species